CCCUUAGAUGUCCUGGGCCGCACGCGCGUUACACUGAUGCAUUCAACGAGCUUAUAACCUUGGCCGAGAGGCCUGGGCAAUCUUGUUAACGUGCAUCGUGAUAGGGAUAGAUUAUUGAAAUUAUUAAUCUUGAACGAGGAAUUCCUAGUAAACGCAGAUCAUCAAUCUGCAUUGAUUACGUCCCUGCCCUUUGUGCACACUGCCCGUCGCACCUACCGAUUGGAUGGUCCGGUGAAGCCUCGGGAUUGUGGUUCUUGCCGCUUUAUUGUGGCGUGACCGCGAGAACUUGUCUAAACCUUAUCAUCUAGAGGAAGGUGAAGUCGUAACA
rnacentral:rRNA from 1 species